rnacentral:rRNA from 1 species
CCUACGGGAGGCAGCAGUGAGGAAUAUUGGUCAAUGGACGAGAGUCUGAACCAGCCAAGUAGCGUGAAGGAUGACUGCCCUAUGGGUUGUAAACUUCUUUUAUAUGGGAAUAAAACGUUCCACGUGUGGGAUUUUGUAUGUACCAUAUGAAUAAGGAUCGGCUAACUCCGUGCCAGCAGCCGCGGUAAUACGGAGGAUCCGAGCGUUAUCCGGAUUUAUUGGGUUUAAAGGGAGCGUAGGUGGAUGGUUAAGUCAGUUGUGAAAGUUUGCGGCUCAACCGUAAAAUUGCAGUUGAAACUGGCAGUCUUGAGUACAGUAGAGGUAGGCGGAAUUCGUGGUGUAGCGGUGAAAUGCUUAGAUAUCACGAAGAACUCCGAUUGCGAAGGCAGUUCACUGGACUGCAACUGACACUGAGGCUCGAAAGUGUGGGUAUCAAACAGGAUUAGAUACCCUGGUAGUC